ACAUCCCAGACCACCCACUCACUGCAGGUAGGAACCACAUCCCAGACCACCCACUCACUGCAGGUAGGAACCACAUCCCAGACCACCCACUCACUGCAGGUAGGAACCACAUCCCAGACCACCCACUCACUCCAGUUAGGAACCACAGCCCAGACCACCCACUCACUCCAGUUAGGAACCACCACCACAGACCAGACCCACUCACUCCAGUUAGGAACCACCACCACAGACCAGACCACCCACUCACUCCAGUUAGGAACCACAGCCCAGACCACCCACUCACUCCAGGUAGGAACCACCACCACAGCCCAGACCACCCACUCACUCCAGUUAGGAACCACAGCCCAGACCACCCACUCACUCCAGUUAGGAACCACCACCACAGCCCAGACCACCCACUCACUCCAGUUAGGAACCACCACCACAGCCCAGACCACCCACUCACUCCAGUUAGGAACCACCACCACAGCCCAGACCACCCACUCACUCCAGGUAGGAACCACCACCACAGCCCAGACCACCCACUCACUCCAGGUAGGAACCACCACCACAGCCCAGACCACCCACUCACUCCAGUUAGGAACCACCACCACAGCCCAGACCACCCACUCACUCCAGUUAGGAACCACCACCACAGCCCAGACCACCCACUCACUCCAGGUAGGAACCACCACCACAGCCCAGACCACCCACUCACUCCAGUUAGGAACCACCACCACAGCCCAGACCACCCACUCACUCCAGUUAGGAACCACCACCACAGCCCAGACCACUCACUCACUCCAGGUAGGAACCACCACCACAGCCCAGACCACUCACUCACUCCAGUUAGGAACCUCCACCACAGCCCAG